AAGCAAUUGAUGAAAGGUACUGAUGUGUACAAAAAUUAUAGCCCGACCCCGAACUAUCAAGCAUGGCCCGAGGUCAAUACCUCGACCACUCUCGUCUUCAAAUAUCCUCUAAAAAGUGGUCGGGCCUCUUCGAAGUCGGACCUAAUAAUCUGGCCCUACUAAGGUCAGGCCCACAUGCCAAAAUAUUAUCCUCGUCUCGAGCUUUUUACGUGUUUUAGUCCUCUUAUAACUCAAUUACUCUAUCUGAUGAGGAUAAGGACUCUAAAUGGUUGAAUCCUUCUACAGCUCAACCACCAACGUCUAUAAAUACAAGACCUAGCGCCAUUAUUCAGGUAUGUUUUUACAAUACAUACUUUUACAUAAUUUCCCCAUCUGCCUUUGUUUCAGGUACUGAAAGGUUCCGUUCGUGCUCGAUCUCAGUCCUCAUCUCGAGAAAUCAACAGGUACAAUUUUUUGCAUCAUCAGUGGCGCUGUCUGUGGGAAGCGAUACAUUAACCAUGUUUUUACCACAUUCAAAAAGUCACCGGAAGGACAAUAAUUUCAGACAGUUCCUCAACCAAGAAGCUCGAAGAGAUGUUUCUGCCUUCCGAAUGAUUUCAAAGUCCAACGUAGACAAAAAAGAUGUAUAGAUCAAAUUAAAAUAGGGCCGAAUUCAAAAACCCAGUUCUCAGAUCCGAUCUUCUCGCUUCUGAUCUCCUUUUGAACAAACUCCAUAAUGAAGAAAGAUCACUCCAAUAAGCAUCAAUGGAACUCAUAAUUCAUCGGGAUACUUCCAACAUCAGUUUACUGUUUAUCUACACGAUUGCCGACGGUAGUGUCAUUCCGAUCAGCAUGUGCAAAUCAUUCAUCCCUGCCUCCAAAGUUCUUGUGCAAACCCGAUCAUCUUCGUUGCAUAAUAAAGCCAUCGUCAAAACGAGGUGUUUUCUUCAUUUGUAACAUUCGGUUCAAUUUCCGUCCUCUCUUUUCUCUCUUCAUUAUCGCUCCUAACACGAAAGAUAAUACGGGUUUCAUUUCACAAUUGGAGUUUAUUGUGAAAAUCCUCGAUUCCCAUCUCUCUGUUGGCUUUUGGAGAAGAAUUUUCGUUGUUUUUCAUGCAAAACAAAAAGGACCCAAGUGGAAUAACCAUUGGAGAACCGUGUAUCAUCUUCUGCAACUCCAAUUUGUCGAUCUGGGAAUAUAUGCCAAAAUUCAACAUGUUUUGAAUAGUGAAUUGGGCCAAAAUUUUACAUAAAUUGAGCCCAAGAAUUCAAGUAAAAAUGCCUAUUCAAUGUUGGGCUGCACUAAUUUUUUUGGGCCUACUAACUUUUCAACCUACCUAAAGAUUUUGGGCCUAUUGUCUGCCUCAAUAUUGGUUUUGCCUUCCCUAAGGGUGUCAACGAGUCGAGUCCGGCUCUCGAGCCCAAACUUCCGACUCGGGCUUUAUCAAGACGGGUUUUUUUUUGCCCGAACCUCAACAAAAAAAGGCUUGACCCAAGCUUUCGGCUCGGGCCUUUUCGAGUUGAGUCGAGCCGAGGCAAGCUCAGUUUUUUUUUCUUUUCCCAAUGGCUGCAUCACGACAAACUCCACGGAGCCUGAAAGAGAUUCACAAUCAAACUCUUCUGUUUAUUUGUUUGUCAUUUUUCUAUUAAUAUUUUAUUAUUUUAGAUAUUAUCUUUAAAUAGAUGUUUCAGUAUAAUCAAAUUUAUUUUUCAUUAAAAGUUUGACAUGUUCC
rnacentral:lncRNA from 1 species